GAUCUUCAAUGAGAGUAACUGGUUUUCACCGGAUUCAGUUUUUGUAAAUUAUCUAUCAAUCGAAAUUUAUUUUUAAUGAUUUUUCAGUCAGUAUGGAAAGUGGCUUGUAGCUAAUAGGAGCUCCUAUUCACAGUUUAGCUACUAUUAGUUCUAGAAAUUUUUCACAGGAUAAUAAUCUAUAUAAAGUGUUUGGUGUUUAGCUUUGAGUGAUCAGUAGUCAGGAAUCAUUAUUGGCAAUCAAAUAAUUUGAAUAUUCUCAAUGAAUUAACUAAUCCUAGAACCUGAACUUUCAAAUUAUAAAGGUGAUUUUCUAGAUCUAGUUGAUUGAUAAACGAAAAAAACGUCUCACGUCUCUUUGAUUUUUUGUUAGUUCCAGUGUUGAAAAAAUAUGCAAUGUUUUUCUUUAUUUCUGUGCAGAUUCAUCGUCAAAGGUUGAUUGAUGUACUGAACACGUGAGAGUGCAAAUGCUACCAAGAAUUUGUGAAUUCAAAAAGCCUCAAGUUAAAAAGCUAGUGAAAGUCAGGUUAUGUCCGUUGGUGCAAUUUGCAGAUAUGGAACGUUGUCUUCCUUGCAAGGACAACGCCCAGGUGUAAACAAACAGAAAAGAAACAAAGCUUCAGGUAGAAGGACACCAUUGUCCUUUUUAGAAAAUGAGUUCUCUAUAAGUUUUAUUUUAAAAAUAAAAGUUAACAUGUUGUUUAGUAAUUAAAAAUUGCAGCUUUCAGUUUAAAUUUGAUAAGAUUUUCUUUUCACAAAUCGUACUUACCCCAACUUUCCCCGGUGCGACCAAAGACAGCUCCAGUCUCAGAAUUGUAAAGAAACCUCUUGAAUUUUGUCAUCGCCGGCUCUGGGGGUGGCUUCAAGAAGGGCUGAUAGUUUUGCUGCAUUGCUUCUUGUUGUUUGGCUGAAUUCGUCAUUGCGACAAAACUAUUUUGUUUCCUUUAUCCGGAGAAACCACUCAACUCUGAGGAAGUAACCAAC